rnacentral:rRNA from 1 species
AUACGUAGGUGGCGAGCGUUGUCCGGAAUUAUUGGGCGUAAAGAGCAUGUAGGCGGCUUAAUAAGUCGAGCGUGAAAAUGCGGGGCUCAACCCCGUAUGGCGCUGGAAACUGUUAGGCUUGAGUGCAGGAGAGGAAAGGGGAAUUCCCAGUGUAGCGGUGAAAUGCGUAGAUAUUGGGAGGAACACCAGUGGCGAAGGCGCCUUUCUGGACUGUGUCUGACGCUGAGAUGCGAAAGCCAGGGUAGCGAACGGGAUUAGAUACCCCGGGAGUCCUGGCCGUAAACGAUGGGUACUAGGUGUAGGAGGUAUCGACCCCUUCUGUGCCGGAGUUAACGCAAUAAGUACCCCGCCUGGGGAGUACGGCCGCAAGGUUGAAACUCAAAGGAAUUGACGGGG